AGCGAACGCUGGCGGCAGGCUUAACACAUGCAGGUCGAACGGGCUUCUUCGGAAGUCAGUGGCAGACGGGUGAGUAACACGUGGGAACGUGCCCUUCGGUUCGGAAUAACUCAGGGAAACUUGAGCUAAUACCGGAUACGCCCUUUUGGGGAAAGGUUUACUGCCGAAGGAUCGGCCCGCGUCUGAUUAGCUUGUUGGUUGGGUAACGGCCUACCAAGGCGACGAUCAGUAGCUGGUCUGAGAGGAUGAUCAGCCACACUGGGACUGAGACACGGCCCAGACUCCUACGGGAGGCAGCAGUGGGGAAUAUUGGACAAGGGGCGCAAGCCUGAUCCAGCCAUGCCGCGUGAGUGAUGAAGGCCUUAGGGUUGUAAAGCUCUUUUGUCCGGGACGAUAAUGACGGUACCGGAAGAAUAAGCCCCGGCUAACUUCGUG
rnacentral:rRNA from 1 species